UGUAGAACUUUGAAGGUAGUGAUACUUGCACGUAUUAAUAACAGCAAAAUAGGAUUUCUAGGUUGUGUAAUACAAAGUAAUAUACGAGACAACACCAAAGUUUAUUUUUGUCAUGUAUUUGACGUUUUCGUCCUCCCAUCAAUAAAUAAUGAUGUAAUUUAUUUAAGAGAACCUGAAGGAACAAUAAAAUUUAUUAAAAUGUAUCUCAUUACACCAACGUUUUCACGAGGAUUUUCAACAUGCGGCUAACAUACGAUUAACUGAAAAAAAUGGUUACGUCUCUUCUUAUACCUAUGUAAAAAAGAGAUAUAUAAUUCAAUACAUUUUCAAAUUGGAAAAAAUUGCAAGGUCAAGUGUUGUCUCGUUAUACCUUUUAACAAUUUCGUUUCAAGAAUAACAUUAUUUUAUAAAACGCUAAUCCCUAAUUUUUUAGAUA